rnacentral:rRNA from 1 species
UGUAAGCGUAUACCAAAGUUGUUGUAGUUAAAACGCUCGUAGUCGGAAUUUGGCAGUUCCGGAUGUGUGCACGUCGUGUGCGCACUUCGCGGGGAUUGCUUUUGUGGUCUUGCGUAGGAUGAGGCACUUUUAUUAGUGAACGUCCUCACGCAACCACUUUUUACUGUGAGAAAAUCAGAGUGCUCAAAGCAGGCAUUUGCCGUGAAUGUAUUAGCAUGGAAUAAUAGAAUAGGACUUGGUUCUAUUUUGUUGGUUUGUUGGGACUGAGUAAUGAUUAAGAGGGACAGUUGGGGGCAUUUGUAUUUCGGUGCUAGAGGUGAAAUUCUUAGAUUACCGAAAGACAAACUGCCGCGAAAGCGUCUGCCAAGGAUGUUUUCAUUGA